rnacentral:rRNA from 1 species
GACGAACGCUGGCGGCGUGCUUAACACAUGCAAGUCGAACGGAAAGGCCCUGCUUUUGUGGGGUGCUCGAGUGGCGAACGGGGUGAGUAACACGUGAGUAACCUGCCCUUGACUUUGGGAUAACUUCAGGAAACUGGGGCUAAUACCGGAUAGGAGCUCCUGCUGCAUGGUGGGGGUUGGAAAGUUUCGGCGGUUGGGGAUGGACUCGCGGCUUAUCAGCUUGUUGGUGGGGUAGUGGCUUACCAAGGCUUUGACGGGUAGCCGGCCUGAGAGGGUGACCGGCCACAUUGGGACUGAGAUACGGCCCAGACUCCUACGGGAGGCAGCAGUGGGGAAUAUUGCACAAUGGGCGGAAGCCUGAUGCAGCAACGCCGCGUGCGGGAUGACGGCCUUCGGGUUGUAAACCGCUUUCGCCUGUGACGAAGCGUGAGUGACGGUAAUGGGUAAAGAAGCACCGGCUAACUACGU